UAGGGAAUCUUCGGCAAUGGGGGGAACCCUGACCGAGCAACGCCGCGUGAGUGAAGAAGGUUUUCGGAUCGUAAAGCUCUGUUGUUAAGGAAGAACGAGUGUGAGAAUGGAAAGUUCAUGCUGUGACGGUACUUAACCAGAAAGGGACGGCUAACUACGUGCCAGCAGCCGCGGUAAUACGUAGGUCCCGAGCGUUGUCCGGAUUUAUUGGGCGUAAAGCGAGCGCAGGCGGUUAGAAAAGUCUGAAGUGAAAGGCAGUGGCUCAACCAUUGUAGGCUUUAGAAACUGUUUAACUUGAGUGCAGAAGGGAAGAGUGGAAUUCCAUGUGUAGCGGUGAAAUGCGUAGAUAUAUGGAGGAACACCGGUGGCGAAAGCGGCUCUCUGGUCUGUAACUGACGCUGAGGCUCGAAAGCGUGGGGAGCGAACAGG
rnacentral:rRNA from 1 species